ACCUAAAGUUUUUAACUAAAAUACGCAAUAAUAGAAGAGGCAAGUCGUAACAUGGUAAGUAUACCGGAAGGUGUGCUUGGAAACGAAACGUAGCUUAACCUAAAGCAUUUCGCUUACACCGAAAAAAUAUUAGUGAAAAUCCAAUCGUUUCGAGCAAAAAUUUUAGCCCAUAUAACCCUAUGAAAACAUGUUUUUAAAAACCUAAAUUAAAUCAUUCUUUCAGCUUAGUAAAGGAGAUUAAAAAGCCUUCAGGAGCUAUAAACUUAGUACCGCAAGGGAAAAAUGAAAUAAAAAUGAAAAACCUUAAGCAUAAUAUAGUAGAGAUUAACUCUCGUACCUUUUGCAUCAUGGUUUAACCAGUUAAACCAAGCAAAAAGAAUUUAAGUUUGACUUCCCGAAACUAAGUGAGCUACUUCAAGGCAGCUAAAAGAGCCAACUCGUCUCUGUUGCAAAAGAGUGAGAAGACCUUCAAGUAGGGGUGAUAGACCUACCGAACUUAGUGAUAGCUGGUUAUUCAAGAAAAGAACAUUAGUUCAGUUAAAAAUUUACUUAAUAAACAAAAUUAAAAUAAGAUUUUUAAGCAAUUCAAAUAAGNUACAGCCUAUUUGAAGCAGGGUACAACCUAAACUAAUGGGUAAUUCAUUAACUAUUAUAGCCAAGUAGGCCUAAUAGCAGCCAACUUUAAAAAAGCGUCAAAGCUUCCCUAUUUAUACCCUUAAUUACACUAUAAACACAAAACCCUUUAUUUGUAUUGAAUACUUCUAUAAAAUUAUAGAAUUUUUUAUGUUAAAACUAGUAACAAGAAGAAGAACUUCUCUUAAAUGUACAUGUAAGUCAGCCUGGACAAACCACUGAUCAUUAACGCAUAUGAACAAGCAGUAGUAACACCUCUAGAAAACCCUCCUACAAACUUCGUUAACCUUACACAAGAACAUUAAAAGAAAGAUUAAAAAAAAAGGAAGGAACUCGGCAAACAUUAACCUCGCCUGUUUACCAAAAACAUCGCCUCUUGUCCCAUUAUAAGAGGUCCAGCCUGCCCAGUGAAUAAAUUUAACGGCCGCGGUAUCCUAACCGUGCGAAGGUAGCGUAAUCACUUGUUCUUUAAAUAAGGACUAGUAUGAAUGGCACCACGAAGGUUAUACUGUCUCCCCUUUUUAAUCAGUGAAACUAAUCUCCCCGUGAAGAAGCGAGGAUAAAAUUAUAAGACGAGAAGACCCUAUGGAGCUUUAGACUUCGCAACAAUUGUCAUUAAUUCACUUACCCUAUUGGAAUUCAACCACAUUAUUUCAUAUUGAUUGCUUGUCUUAGGUUGGGGUGACCACGGAGUAAAACAAAUCCUCCACGAUGAAAGAAACUUAAUUUCUUAACCAAGAGUUACAUCUCCAAGUACCAAAAAUUUGACAUAGCUUGAUCCAAUUUAUUGAUCAACGAACCAAGUUACCCUAGGGAUAACAGCGCAAUCUACUUCAAGAGCCCCUAUCGACAAGUAGGUUUACGACCUCGAUGUUGGAUCAGGGUAUCCU
rnacentral:misc_RNA from 1 species